GGAGGCGGCCUUGGGCGGGUGGCUUCUCUGGGUCCCACGGUUCCUGCCCAGGCUCUUCGAACCAGGACCAGUGCGGAACAGCAAGCCAUUGGAGAGUCCUGAGCAGAGAAAGGACUGACCUGCCUCAUGUUUUAAAUCUGGCUGCCGUAUUGGAAGUAGAUUGGAGGAAAAAAAAGUGGAAGCCCUGGGACCCACCAUCAUGAACAAUCGGGGAGAAGACAAGAGGCCAGCAAAGGAAUGAACACAGGGACGCAUGAGACAUUUGGUGCCGAAGACCUGGGUCAGCGGGACUCCUUUGGGAGACCAGUCCCCCAUCCUCACCCUCACUCUGUGAAGAGAUCCACCUACGACCUUGGGUCCUCAGACCAACCAGCCUAAGGAACAUCUCACCUAUUUUAAAUCGGACAGGAAUGUCAGGCCUCUGAACCCAAGCUAAGCCAUCA
rnacentral:lncRNA from 1 species